CUGGGUUUUAAUUCACUAUGUAGCUUUUGAACAGGCACACAGGAAGUGUGGCUUUACCUACGGUGGUGCUGUCUUCAAGGAAAGCCAUUCUUUUGUUGUCAUGCUAUCAGAAGCUCAGACAGAGGUGACAGAAACAGAGUGGAUUCUGCACCUUCAGAAAACAUGUUGCCCAACCAGCAAGAGCAGUCCAUCAUUGGUGCGCAGAGCCUGUACGGAUCUCCACGCCUUCACGCAGACCUCCAGAGACCCAGUGCCUCCUGUCCCCAGGAGCUGAUCCGAACAUGGGUUUCCAACUUGACCAUGGGGCCCUUAAGGUUCAAGAAUGACCAGUCGGAAGAAGGAGUUGUCCUCUGAGGAGCUGUCAACUGAGCCUUCCAAGUUCUGUCACCCCUCAGAGCGCAGGCAACCUACUAGUGGCCAAACCCACAGAGAAGAACGACCUUCCUCCCAAGUAAACUCUUCUUCCAUCUGUGGUGCAAUUUUGGCUGGCUCGAUCAUGUGAGGAUCUUGUCCAGCUAACUGGAGCUGAUUUUAUUCAGGAACAUUGAACAAUCCUCGGACCCCGGGGAAAGCCAGCCCACAGCUUAAAUAGCCUCUGGGUAGCCAACCCCAGCGUGCCAUGUGGGCAAUGCAGAUAGGUCCACAUACAUGGAAGCAAGCCAGAUCCUCGGCCUUAGCCAAAUGUGGAGUUGUUCGUGACAGA